UCAGAUUUUACUUCUCAGAGCAGCUGUGACGCGGAGUCUCCACCAUGUUCCUGAUGCUGUGUCUGCUGAAAAAGUCCUGAGAGGCAGAAGCCUUUACCGUCCCCAGGCCCGAAGGGGUAAAGGGAAGGAGAAGUUCCUAGAAUACGGGGCGCUAUAGUCCUCACCCACACUGGGCCAGCCACCCAGCAGCACCCGAGGGAUGACUCAACCUUCCGUGCAUUCAUCUGGAGGCUCUAUGGGAACCCGAACCCAAACCCUCUAAGUGUUCCAGAUCCCCAGUUCCCCCUGGCAAUCCAGUUACCCAAAUAAUACAUCUUCACAGGCUGAAUGGGAUAAGCGGGCCCUGACAAGCAGCAUUAAAUUCCUUACCUGUUUUACUCUGUUCUGAAUUCCCUA